UCUCUGGGGAUCGACCAAGAAGGGAAAGCAAGGGGGGAACCCUAAAUUCUGCAAUUUAGCUAAAUUGAAAGGGAAUUCAAGGCCAAAUCAUAUGCAUGAACUCGAAACCUUAACCAUCUAAGCUUGUUCAACACAAGGCGUUAAGGAAGAAAGUUCGAGUCAAGUGAAGCAUCAAGGAGAUCAAGGCCGAGGUAAAUCUCAUGUCUAGCUAUCAAGCUUCGCCCGGUUCGAACACGCCUCAAGCCCGUCAAGCGUUCCGCAUUUUGUAAAAGUCAAUGUUUAAUACUUUGUCACUUAUGUUUUCGUCUAGUAGUUAAACCUAGUUUUAUUAUGUUUGUCUUUUAAAAGACUUGUCGUAAGUACGUACAUAUACUUAAUGGUUUGCAAAUAAAAUAUGGUAAGUUUUGACGUGUA